rnacentral:tRNA from 1 species
GUGGCUGUAGCUCAAUCGGCAGAGCACUUGACUGUGGAUCAAGAUGUUGCGGGUUCAAGCCCCGUCAGCCACC